UCCGAUAUGGUGUAACGGCUAACAUUGCCGCCUUUCAUGAAAUUGGAUACACGAUCGCGGCAGCUCGGGGUUCGAUUCCCCGUAUCGGAA